CGUCAGCCCUGCACGGAGACGCGGACGCGGUGCCAGGCGGUGCUCAGCACCCCUCGCAGGUUCCAGAUGGGCGCCACGCUGUCGGGCUGCACGUUGUAACUGCUGUCCACCGCUUUGCAAACGAUCUCCAGCUCCGUCCCCGCCUCCACCGGCACCGUCAGCUCCCACAGCGCCCACGCCCACGCGCGGCCCGGCGGAGCUUUAUCCCCCAUCAGCCUCGCCACCUUCCACGUGCGCCCCCCGUCCAGCGACACGUCCACGCGCACCACCUCGCGCCCGCCGCCGCUCCACGCGUAACCCUUCACCGUCAGCUCCCCCGGCGGCACCGCGGCUCCGGGCCGCGGCUGAGUGACGGCCGACUGCACCGGCAGCUCCUGGAUGGCGGGCGCCGUGCGGUAAUCCACCGUGUCCCAAUCCACGCAGGGGGAGAAGCCCUUGUAGUCGUUCUGCUGCCAAUGGCUGGGGCUCUCAUCGGGGCUCACGGCCACGCGGCGCAGCCACUUAACGCUGCGUGCGCCCACCACGCCGGGCACCACCACGCGGACGGGGAAGCCGUGGUCCCGGGGCAGCUCCGUGCCGUUCAUCUCGUAGGCCAGCAGCACGUCGGCGGCGGGGCUGAGAGCGCGGCCGUAAGGGAUGGACGCACCGUACGGAGCGCCCCCGGGGUCGGCGUCCAAACCCUCGAAGCAGACGUGCCACUCGCCCUGGAGCUCCUCGGGGAAGCCGGCGUGCAGCAGGACGUCCCGCAGCCUCGCUCCGCCCCACCGCGCCGUGCUGAUGGCACCGAUGUCCCACGGCAGCCCUUUGACGGGCCGCACGCGGCUCAUCUCGGAGCGGCGGUUCCCGGCGCACUGCAGGGUCGCCGUCACUUCGUGUUUGGGGAAGCGGCUCCGCAGCUCGGCCAGGGACAGCGACAGCGUGCGGCCGCCGGGACCGUCCACCCGCAGCCGCAGCUCCAGGACGUGCGGUUCCCCGUGCACCGCAUACAGCGCCCAGAAGGGCUCCAGGGCCCCCCCCGCCGCCAGCAGGAUCUUGUCGGGCCCCCCCGGGUGCAGCUCCACGAAGUCGGUGACGUCGAACACGUCGGUGCCGUGGGUCACCCAGACGCGUUCUUCGGGGCUCCGGUGCCGCCCCACCUCUUCCCGCGUGUACCGGGGGUACGACGGGGCGGCGGCGGCGUGAGCGGCCUGGGAGGGGGGGGAAGGAUGGGGGCUCGGCUCCGUCAGCGGGGACAGCCCGGACCCACCUCCCCCCCGGUGCCCACCCCCCCCACUCCGCUCCCCACCCGGUGCGCGCUCACCCGUCGCCGCCGUUCUCCGUAGCUCAGCGCCGCGCCGAGGCCGAGCAGCGCCGCCAGCACCGGACCACCCGCCCGCCGCCCCCCCCGGGCCCGGACCGCCGGGGGCGAUGUCCGUCCGGGAGGAGCCGCGGUGUUGGGAGAGCGGCGGGGGGGCAGACGGACUCUGCGGAGAGAGCGGCGCUGAGCGGUGCCCGGGGGCGGAGAGAGG
rnacentral:lncRNA from 1 species